GGUGUAAAGCUAGUUCGCCUCCACGUGGUGCACCCUGGGUAACGCUAAAUGAACUAGCAAAUAUUUUCAGUCAGACAAUCCUAGGAUCUCCUGUCCAUAAGAUCAAUUUCACAAAGUUCCACUUUUCUUUAAGAGAUAUGAUGCUAUCAAGCAAGGCAAACAGUCUUUCUCUUUAUUGUUUUUCUUCUAAUUUUAUUUCUUAAUCUCUUCUUUAUGUAUUAUUUCUUAUUUACUGUAAUUCUUCUAAGACUUCCAAGUCUUUGAUUUCAUUUCUGUUGAUGCCAACAUGCGAUUGUAUAGUUUUCGAUUCAUGAAUGGGAUAUUGUACUGCUUUGGAACAAGGAUUUUUGGACAAGGACAGCUGCACUUCAAUUCAAGCACCCUCAUCAAGAUGCCAUUAGAUUGAUUAUAUCCACCAUUCAAUUAGAUCAACAUUCAAUAGGAUGAAAUUCAUCACUGAAGAGGAAUAGAAUAAUUUUAGACAUUAAUAAUAGCACAUAUGAGCAUGCAUUCUUCAUGCAUCCUUUCACAGAAGAGGAGGUAGGAGUGAUCUCAGAGAAGGUAGCUAAUCUUUGACCAAGGAUUAAAUCCGAUGCAGGAAGAUAAAAAGCAUUGGGAGACAAAGAUUUAUGGCAAAUUGAGGCUUAUCAAACACAGUUCAGCCAUAUCUAUAACUACGACUUUGAAACUAAACAAAUAGGCUUUAUCUUCGUGGCAGUUGAUGGUUAUGUCCUUUUUCAUCUGCAACAUUUGAAGAAGAUGCCCAUUACAUUGAAUAAAUUCAACAUUCGACAGUGGAAUCACGAAAUUCAACAUUGAAGAGAACCUAAUUCAUUUUAGAUUUUGUACAACAAAUCGAUGGUUGUAUACAGUUCCAGGGCAGUACAUUUAUCUUUUUCAUGAAUAUUACCAACAAUGCAUAAGGACACAAGUAUAUCUAAUUUUUUUGGCCUUUGGCCACUUCAUUUUCUUAUUGGUAAAAUCUAAUUAGAAUUUUACAUCCUGUUGUUUUUGGUUAACUUUCAAUUUUCUAUAAUAUCCUGAGUCCCAUAUUUUCUCCAUUGUGGUAAUAAUAACAUCAUUCAUUAAUUCUUUAAAGUAUUUUAUUGCCUGUAUUUCAAUAAGUCUCUUUUAUUUGCAUUAUUUUUCUUAUGGUGUUAUUUUUCUAAUGCUUUUUUGCUUGUGUAAUUCCUUGUACAGAAUUUUAGUUUUGAUGGAUACAUUUUUAUGUCAUUUUUUUCAGAUUGUAUCCCAUGAAUUGCUAUAAUUUUACAGAUCUUGUUGGUUCCCUUUGCCCGUGUUUAAACACACAAAAUACACUUAAAACUCCCACAAUAAGAACUAUUCCCAAUCAAUUCCUGGCGCAUUCGCCAUUUAUUCAAAAAACCUGACUCGUCCUCAGACGAUGUCACUUCUGUUUUUCCCAGCCUUUUUUUCAAUGAAUUUUUCUGAAUAAUAUGGACUCCAGAGCAUCACAGCUAGCCUCCCCGCAAAAGAGGAGACCCGGGUCGCUCCCUAACCCUGAUGUUCGGGCAUCGAUGACCUAUGUAGCAUGCAUAGGUACCCAAGGGAGUCACCACUCUCUGGUUUACGAGCUAGGUGUUCUAA